GCAACUUGCUCUCUCGCUCUCUCUCUCUCUCUCUCUCUCUCUCCCUCCCUCCCUCCCUCUCUCUCUCUGUGUGUGUGUGUGUGUGUGUGUGUGUGUGUGUGUGUGUGUGUAGGGAGGAGAGGCCGAGGAUGUAGAUGUGGUGUGUGAGUGCAUGGAACUUCAGCAGCCAUCAGCGGGCUGCCUGUCUUAUGGUCAUCAGGGCACGGGACAGGGAUCUGUUUACUCUGAGAUUAACCAAGACUUGAGAGUAGCAGCAGCAUCUGGCCUAUCGUUAGGUAUCAUUGUGAUAGGCAUGAAGAAGGAAGUAUAAUUUGCCACUGAUCUUCCCAGCCUUUUCUUUCUGCGAUUGCCUGGACACCAUGCUAUCCAGCUAGUGCAUCAGUUGUCCUUCACAUACUUCAUUAGAGAUGACAAGUUACAUGGAUUUUUAUCUUACCAGAUGGUCUCUUAUUUGGACUCUGGCUCAUGAAGGUUAAAAAAAAAAAAAAAAAGAACAAAAAACAAAAAAACAAACCUCUUAAAUGAUGAGACUUUAAACACAUAGGUAUUGGCAGUAUAUUCAUAUUGGAUGCAAUACAGUAGAGCUGAUACAGUACAAUUGCACCAUUUCCAAAAUAUAUCCUCUGUGUGUGUGUGUGUGUGUUUCUAUGUAUGUAUAUGUAUGUGUGGUUGCACUUUAUCUGUACAUGUGUGUGUGGAGGACAGAGGUUGACAUUCAUUAAAUAUCUUCGUAAUCGCUCUCCACCUUAUUUUUUGAAGCCAGGUAUCUCACUGACCCAGUUCACCCAUUCAGUUAGAGUGUCUGGCCAGCAAGGCCUCUGGAUCCUCCUUUCUCACCCCCAUCUCCUAGCACUGGGACUGAUGGUCAGGUGUCUCCAUGUCCAGCCUUUUGCAUGGGUGCUGGAGAACAGAUUCUGAACCUGAUGUUUACAUAGCAAACACUACCCACUGAGCCCAGCCUGCAAUUUUUUAAUGAUAAAGAACUGGAAUUCAGAGGGUUUUGGAACUGGCUGUGGGUCAUAGUACCAAUAUGCAAACAGGAUUAGAAACCAAUUUGAGAUUCAAAGUGUGACACAGUAUACAAACAUAAAUACUAUAUAUUCUACUUUUUCUUAAUAUGAAAAGCUCAUCAAGCCUUAUAAAGUAAACUUGACUGUAUUGAAUAGGAACCUAGAGCCUUAAGAGAUUAACAGGUAUGACCUCAAAUUUAGAUGUAUUCUACUCUUUUCAUUAUUAAUGAUUUUAAAUGAAGUUAUUAACAAUCUGGGCCAUACUCUCUUAAUAUGAGUAAUCAUGAGAUUGAUUAAGACAGAUAUAGGUUGUUUCUUUUUUUUUUUUUUUUUUCUCUUAUAGUAGCGAUAGAAUCCAGGGCUGUGCACAUGGGAGACAGAGCUGAAGUGUUUAUAGCAGUUUUCAUCUAUUUACUUUUUACUUUUAUCUUUUUAAAUCUCCAAUUAUGAGACCAGUUUCUCCUGAUCUCAGGAUGUCUUUUUCCAGCUGCCCAGUACACUUGACCUCUCUUCCUGCCAGCCGCCAGUGGUGACUUAAUCACACUGAGUCACCCAGGACUGCUAUAGCAUGUUUGAAAAAAGAUUGUCUAGAAAUAUUUCAAGUGUUGUGUUUCUUGACGAGGGCCCCCAGGAAAUAGCUUGUGUUUUGGUAAAUGCCUUUGCAGUGCUUUAUGAAGCUAAGCAAUAGCAUGCCCAUUUCUACAUGAAGCAUCAGUUAACAGUAACAAGAAGCACUGCAUCAGCAGUGUCCCUGCUUACUGUCCCCACCCCUGGUACCUUUAUUUGCUGCUGUGCCAUGUCCUCAGCACAGUUCCAUCCUUUAACUGGCUUUGUUUGGAGAGACAGCUUCCUGGUGCAGGUCUUCUAUUGUAGAUCAGGACUCCAAGAGUUCCCACAGAGACACCUAGGAUGGGGCUUUGUGGUGCUCUGCAGAUACCGCAGGUCUGCAGAGGUGCUAACUGACAGACGAGCCUGCAAAUCUGGCCACAGUUCAGUGAAGAGAGUCAGUCCUGAGAGUGAAGUUAUAGCCUCUCUACAAACUGCCUUUCCUAACUGGCAUCUCAGAGGGGUGCUGAUUUGAGUAUCCACUCAAGAAAAAUUAUUUUCUCAUCAAAACUUUUCUGUAUAUUACUUGGAAUUGGUAGAUUCUCAGUUGGGCUGUAGGGUACCUAUUUGUGUUGUGUUUUUUUAUUGCUUAAAUAUAUUAUGUUUGAUAUAUACUAUGUUUAUAUUAGUACUAUAUAAUACCUUAUGUGUAUUAAAUGUAACUAUAAGAUGUAGGUUCUAAUAUUAUUUAGACUAAGUUGUUGAUACUUGGAAGUGAGCAUGGCUAGGGUGUGAGUCAGUAGCAGAUCACUUGUCUAGCAUGUUUGAGGCUCUGGAUUCAAUCUCCAAUAAUGCAUAAAAGAAAUUAUCAUAAACCAUUAAUUUCAUUUGAUUAUACUAGAAAACUAUUUAGUAGUUGGAACUCUUCAAAAUGAGGGAAGUAUAUGUUUAGGUUAAUAGAAACACUUUCUUGGUAAAACUGUAGAUUUCCAUUUUAAUAACAGUAUGUUUUGUGUCGUAUACUAUUUCUUUUAAAUAGCGCCCACAUUCUUAAGUUUGUUAAUACCUACAAACUAUUAAAUAUUAUAUGUCUUCCUUUUUAAAAUCCCUUUAUACAUUAAAUCCUUUCUGAUAGGU
rnacentral:lncRNA from 1 species